rnacentral:rRNA from 1 species
CGCAUCUGUGCAUGCAGCAUAUCAAUAAGCGGAGGAAAAGAAACUAACAAGGAUUCCCCUAGUAACGGCGAGUGAAGCGGGAAGAGCUCAAAUUUGAAAUCUUAAAGGGUUUCCCUUUACGAAUUGUAGUUUAAAGAAGUGUUUUCUGUUGAGGUUUUGGUAAAAGUUCUUUGGAAUAGGACAUCAUAGAGGGUGAGAAUCCCGUAUUUGACCUUUACUUUCAACCUUUGUGAUACACUUUCAAAGAGUCGGAUUGUUUGGGAAUGCAGUCCAAAAUGGGUGGUAAAUUUCAUCUAAAGCUAAAUAUUGGCGAGAGACCGAUAGCGAACAAGUACCGUGAGGGAAAGAUGAAAAGAACUUUGAAAAGAGAGUUAAACAGUACGUGGAAAUUGUCAAAAGGGAAGCGUUUGACACCAGUGUUGUUUUUCUGAAAAUCAAUUAAAGAACUGUUUAUGCUAAGUUGUUUAGACUUUAUCAGCUAACUGUUUAGUUUUGAGCUUUUCUUUAAUGCACUUUUCAGUUAACAAGUCAACAUCAAUUUCUUUUGCUGUAAAAAAGCUUGAGGAAGGUGGCUUGAGAUUCGUCUUAAGUGUUUAUAGCCUCUUGCCUAUGCAGUCGGAGAGAUUGAGGUCUGCAGCGUAGAUCCUUCGGGGCUAAAUGCAUUUGUGCUAAGUUAUAGCAUUUUAUAGACAACUUGUUGACUAUGAUUUGUCUUGUAGCUUACUCGCUUAUGUUAUUUUACCUACGCUUAGGAUGUUGAACGCGCACAGAGUCUC